UAAUAUCGAUUAUUUGACAUUUAAGGUUAUGUCAUUCUUAAUUGUCAAACGUUUGAAUUGUUGGAGUGAAUUUUUUUGUGUAAAUGAAUUGUUGUGAUGUUAUAAACACCAAAUAAUGCAUUUUUGAUGUUUUAAUGAAGGUUAUGUCAUUGUUGAGAAGAGAACUGUCAAACGUUUGAAUUGUUGGGGCGAUUUCUUCGUAUAAAUCUAUUGUUGGGAUGUUACAAACACCAAAUAAUGAAUCUUUAAUGUUGUAAUGAAGGUACGGAAAUUUUUUUAUUAACACUUAAAAUUGAAAUGCAAUCUUUUUAGGUAAAUUGAGAAAUGCAGUUGUGGUUGUGAUAGGAUCCGUCGUUGCCAGUCGUAAUUUUGUGCCGAUAUGGGUUAUUAUCGGUUAGUUCGUCGAGAAUGAGUCAUGCAGUCACCCAACAGCAACAGCUUGACUUCCCGUUGGCUUUCAAGCCGUUUGUUAUGUCUGUAGCUCGAGGUCCCCAUGGGUUUGGUUGAGUUCAUUGGAGAGACAGCGAGUUCGUGUACCAACUGGUAACUUUAGUCAAACAAUAUUAAAAAAGGAAAAUAAACAGAUGGUCGUUUUAAAUUCGU